rnacentral:rRNA from 1 species
CCCAGUUCAGGGAGGUAGUGACAAUAAAUACCUUACAGAGGUCUCGUUAACCGAGAUCUCUCAAACGGAAUGAGUACAACGUGAAUCCUUUAACGAGGAUCGACUGGAGGGCAAGCCUGGUGCCAGCAGCCGCGGUAAUUCCAGCUCCAGUAGCGUAUAUUAAAGCUGUUGCGGUUAAAAAGCUCGUAGUUGGAUAUCAGUGCGUGUCCGGUCCGGUAUGCCUGGCACUGUCGCUCUGCGUCAGCGCUGGGCUCCCAAAUAUCGGCUGGCCGCAUUCAAUCGUGCCGGAUCCGUCGACGGGCCGUUCUUCGGAGGGGCCUGUUGGCGACCGGCGACGUUACCUUGAACAAAUUAGAGUGCUCAAAGCAGGCUCUGAAUGCCUGUAUACAUAUUCAUGGAAUUGGAGAAUACGUCCCUGGCUCGAUUUGGUUGGUUUUGAGAGUCGAAGGGAAAUGAUUAAUAGGGACUGACGGAGGCAUUCGUAUUGCGACGCGAGGGGUGAAAUCCUGUGACCGUCGCACGACGAACUACUGCGAAAGCAUUUGCCGAGAAUGUUUUCAUUAGUCAAGAACGAAAGUUAGAGGUUCGAAGGCGAUCAGAUACCGCCCUAGUUCUAACCGUAAACGAUGUCGACCAGCAAUCCGCAACGGUCACUUUACGGACUGUGCGGGCAGCUUCCCCGGGGAAACCAGAGUUUUUGGACUCCGGGGGAAGUAUGGUUGCAAAGCUGAAACUUAAAGGAAUUGACGGAAGGGCACCACCAGGAGUGGAGCUUGCGGCUUAAUUUGACUCAACACGGGACAACUCACCAGGCCCGGACACCGUAAGGAUUGACAGACUGAUAGCUCUCUCUUGAUUCAGUGGGUGGUGGUGCAUGGCCGUUCUUAGUUGGUGGAGUGAUUUGUCUGGUUUAUUCCGAUAACGAACGAGACUCUGGCCUAUUAAACUUGACGCCGUCAGUCUCUUGUGACUGCGGUGCGCUUCUUAGAGGGAUCAUCGGCGUCCCAGCCGAAGGAAAGGGAGCAAUAACAGGUCUGUGAUGCCCUUAGAUGUUCUGGGCUGCACGCGUGUUACACUGAAGUGGUCAGCGCGCCGUUCAACACCCUUCUCCGUGAGGAGCUUGGGCAAACGUUUGAACCCUUUUCGUGAUGGGAAUUGGGGGUUGCAAUUG